CCUCGCCACCGCUGAUGGACAGUCCGCAGUAUACAAACCAGCCAGACUAGGUGUUUUUCCUUCCCGGGCUGGCCAAGGCGGGCCUGGCUGAGUCCUGUUGAGGAAAGAGCCGGUCUUGCGCUGGAGAAGGGGGAGCUGGUUUCCAGGACAAGCAAGUGAGUGUGAAAGUCUCUGCCAGGGUGGGGAAGGAGCAACCUCUGUAGGUUUGUCACAUGCGGCCAAUUUUAUAACCUAUAAAGGAGAAUCUGAUGGUUUUACUUCACGGAGGAAGGCAAAUCAGAGCAAAUGAAUUGGGGUUGGAGAGGGUCAGAAGGAGGUGCAGCUGGAUCCAGAAGAAAAGAAUCUGCCCCUCCCCCUAUCCCAGGUGUGCCCAAAGCCAGUGUGGGCGUUAAUGCUGCUGCUAAUCUCCAGGUGUGGCUGCUGCAAAGUAGCAGGGAGUCCGAGGCGUUCAGGAAGGGGUUGGGAGUCUGCGUGGAACAGAAGGGGUCCCCCUCACCGGGGCAGAGGAGACUCCUGUGUCCCUCAGGCAACAGACAUCGCUGGGCUUAUUUCAGAACAGCCCAGCCCCAAAGGAAUGCGUGGGCAGAGCCAGCUCCAAGCUGGGGAUUGCUCAGAGAAUAUUCCAGGGCCCUAAACCCUCAGAGCCAGAGGGAAAGCCUGAUUGAGAGAUAAUCGACUACAAUCAACUGCACACAGGAACUGCCAGCGUGUGCGUGCCAGGCACCCCUCGAGCUGUUGGGCCCGAGAACCGAGGAGCAAGGCCAGUCGCCACGUCUCACCAGCUCGGAAUCGGCCACCUCCCGACUUCAGCCUCCAGAGCUGAGAAUGUGAGUGUGGGGACUUUGCUCCAGCGGCCCUACCGGCCACACGGAGGGUGACUCUGAACUCACUGUCAAGGUCAACGUGGUGCCCACUAUGGGAGGGCCCUGUCGCUCCUGGGGGGGGGGGGGA